rnacentral:lncRNA from 1 species
ACUCUUCCUCUCGCCCCAACCCUCUCUCCUCUGCGCUUCCUCUCUCUUGGCCUGGUGAGUUGUGGUCGGCCUGAUGAGUUGUGGUUGCCUGACUGGCACACGAGGGGGGUCAGGCUGAGGCUCGGUGCAGGAGAAGCAGAGGCUGGUGGGCACCAGAUGUGCUAAGUGGGUCGGGAUAUGAGAUUCUGAUGGGAAGGCUCUUGGGUGGUGUGUGUGUGUGUUUGUGCGUGCGUGUGUGUGCACGUGCAUGUGCAUGCCAGAGAGACGCAAAAAUUAAAAGUAAGAGCGAGGAGCAGGUGGCUGAUGGGAGCUGUCGCAGCGGUACUGGGAUGCUGGGGCUUGCCUGUGUGGUGGCUGUAGUAGGUUUUGGGAUGCUUGUGACCGGUGGGUGUGCACAUUGGCUCAUGUUUGCUGCGUUGCACAAGCCAGUGUAUGCACACUCGGGCAUGGGAAGCACAGUGAAGGCAGUAGGCGAUGGCAGGCUUUUGUUUCCCUGUGUCCUGGGAGCUUCUGCCCUGCACACAGCAGCCCAGCUCAAGGGAGGGUGGCCUCCCCAUCCCUCCCCUGCAUCCGCGUGCGCCUCUGCCACCUCAUCCUGCCCCUCCCUAUGCAGUGCCGGGCCGCUGGUUUUUUCCGCUACAGGCCCCUGGGCAGAUCUCCAGCAGUGUCGCCCAACCCAGCGCUGUGAGAGAGAGAAUGGGCCGGGGUGGGGCUGCUGGGGGCUGAGCCUGGGAGUGAAGGGCCCGAGGGAGGAGGGGUGGAGAAAGGCUCUGGUUAAACGGGCUGCCUGCAACCCGGAACCUGCCAUCCUGGCCCGCAGGUGUUCACUGCCCCAAGCACGAACUUCCCAAGUGUGCACAGCCACCCCGCCAGGAGCCGAGCCCCACCUUUCAGGGCUCCCUCUUGGGUGGAAGCAGAGUCUCUCCAAGGGCUCCCUGAGGGAUGGAGGUGGGGGCAUUCUGAAUACAUAGCUGGGGGCAGGGUUGGGGGGGGGAUAAGGAUGUCUCUGUGAUCCUGCCCCCAGAUCCUGACUGCUGCCAUGGCCUACCCCCUGGAGAAGGCCCUCGAUGUGAUGGUGUCCACCUUCCACAAGUACUCAGGCAAGGAGGGUGACAAGUUCAAGCUCAACAAGUCUGAGCUAAAGGAGUUGCUGACCCGGGAGCUGCCCAGCUUCCUGGGGAAAAGGACGGAUGAAGCUGCUUUCCAGAAGCUGAUGAGCAACCUGGACAGCAACAGGGACAACGAGGUGGACUUCCAGGAGUACUGCGUCUUCCUGUCCUGCAUUGCCAUGAUGUGCAACGAGUUUUUUGAAGGCUUCCCUGAUAAGCAGCCCCGGAAGAAGUGAGGGCUCCUCGGAUGUGGGUGGGGGCCCUGCCAGCUGGGAGGGGGUCUUCCCUGACAGAAAGGGCACAGUGCCUCACCGUGGCUCUUCCUGACCUGAUCAAGUUCAAUAAAGAUUCUGAAAGC